rnacentral:rRNA from 1 species
GAUGAACGCUGGCGGCGUGCCUAAUACAUGCAAGUCGAGCGAACAGACGAGGAGCUUGCUCCUCUGACGUUAGCGGCGGACGGGUGAGUAACACGUGGAUAACCUACCUAUCAGACUGGGAUAACUUCGGGAAACCGGAGCUAAUACCGGAUAAUAUAUUGAACCGCAUGGUUCAAUAGUGAAAGACGGUUUUGCUGUCACUUAUAGAUGGAUCCGCGCCGCAUUAGCUAGUUGGGAAGUUAACGGCCUACCAAGGCGACUAUGCGUAGCCGACCUGAUAGGGUGGUCGGCCACCCUGGAACUUAGCCACGGUCCAGACUCCUACGGGAGGCCGCAGUAGGGAAUCUUCCGCAAUGGGCGAAAGCCUGACGGAGCAACGCCGCGUGAGUGAUGACGGUCUUCCGAUCGUAAAACUCUGUUAUUAGGGAAGAACAAAUGUGUAAGUAACUAUGCACGUCUUGACGGUACCUAAUCAGAAAGCCCCGGCUAACUACGUG